rnacentral:rRNA from 1 species
GACGAAGGAUGCAAGCGUUAUCCGGAUUCAUUGGGUUUAAAGGGAGCGUAGGUGGCCUUGUAAGUCAGUGGUGAAAUCUCUCGGCUUAACUGAGAAAUUGCCAUUGAUACUGCAGGGCUUGAGUACAGAUGCCGUUGGCGGAAUAUGACAUGUAGUGGUGAAAUACAUAGAGAUGUCAUAGAACACCGAUUGCGAAGGCAGCUGACGAAACUGUAACUGACACUGAGGCUCGAAAGUGCGGGGAUCAAACAGG